AGGCAAUGGGACCGUGUCCCUGGCGCCGCGCUGUCUGUCACCCCCAGUCGGACCGCAGGCCAGCCUGCGGUGUCCACUUGUAUAGUUCCCUGGCCCUUGGCCUUUCCGAUCCUCGGGAGCCCAGUGUCUCUUUCCCGACGCCCCAGUAGGCUCACCUCCAAGCCUCUGGUCCUUCCAGAACCACCGGCCCUGACCGCUUGCAGAACGAGGGUCCAGCUUUGUGCUCCGCGACACCACAACGCCCCGCGUCUUCGCGGGUUCCCUCUGCAGCAGAGAUGCGCUUGGCCAUUAUUUCUCAAGCAUCGCCCAUUUUACCUAAUCCCUUAUGUUUUUAUUUGAAUCCUACACAUUACAGUUAAUCUGUAAUGAUACCGCUUCGGAUGAACCUGUUGCACACGAGGCACUGCAAUUUGUAACCUUGGAAACUGUUUUAAAUAAAGAUUAUAACAGUGGUGUCAA
rnacentral:lncRNA from 1 species